rnacentral:siRNA from 1 species
AGCGUAAACUAUGAUGAUGGU